UGGCGGCAACAGCGCGGUGGUCCCACCUGACCCCAUGCCGAACUCAGAAGUGAAACGCCGUAGCGCCGAUGGUAGUGUGGGGCCUCCCCAUGCGAGAGUAGGGAACUGCCAGGC
rnacentral:rRNA from 1 species